CCUACGGGAGGCAGCAGUGGGGAAUAUUGGGCAAUGGGCGCAAGCCUGACCCAGCAACGCCGCGUGAAGGAAGAAGGCUUUCGGGUUGUAAACUUCUUUUCUCAGGGACGAAGAAAGUGACGGUACCUGCGGAAUAAGCCACGGCUAACUACGUGCCAGCAGCCGCGGUAAUACGUAGGUGGCAAGGGUUAUCCGGAUUUACUGGGUGGAAAGGGCGUGUAGGCGGGAAAGCAAGUCAGAUGUGAAAACCAUGGGCUCAACCUGUGGCCUGCAUUUGAAACUGGUUUUCUUGAGUACUGGAGAGGCAGACGGAAUUCCUAGGGUAGCGGUGAAAUGCGUAGAUAUUAGGAGGAACACCAGUGGCGAAGGCGGUCUGCUGGACAGCAACUGACGCUGAGGCGCGAAAGCGUGGGGAGCAAACAGGAUUAGAUACCCGGGUAGUC
rnacentral:rRNA from 1 species